AGCGAACGCUGGCGGUAGGCCUAACACAUGCAAGUCGAACGGGAGCACAGUAAGCACCGGCACUUAGGGGAGGCGAGUGGCGGAAGGGUGAGGAAUACAUGGGAAUCUACUUUUUCGCGGGGGCUAACGUAGGAAACCUUACGCUAGUGCAGCAUACGACGUACGGGUGACAGCCGGGGAUCUUCGGACCUUGCGCGAGUGAAUGGGCCGAUGUCGGCUUAGCUAGUUGGCGGGGUAAAGGCCUAGCAAGGCGACGAUCAGUAGCUGGUCUGAGAGGAUGAGCAGCCACACUGGGACUGAGACACGGCCCAGAAUCCUACGGGAGGCAGCAGUGGGGAAUAUUGGACAAUGGGCGCAAGCCUGAUCCAGCCAUGCCGCGUGAGUGAUUAAGGCCUUAGGGUUGUAAAGCUCUUUUGUCCGGGACGAUAAUGACGGUACCGGAAGAAUAAGCCCCGGCUAACUUCGUG
rnacentral:rRNA from 1 species